rnacentral:sRNA from 1 species
GCACGAUAGAGCACCAGGCUAAGAGGCACGAGAUCAAGGCGGUAGUCACUUCCGCUCUUCAGCUAGCAUUUCAACCAUAUGUGGGUCCUUUCAUUUCUCAGCUCUCUGGAUUCCUUCCCCUAAAUUAGGACCUAUUAUUUACCUGUAGCUGAAAUGUACCUCCUGGGGAACAUCAAAAGGAGUCCAUUCUCCAGGAGAGACCAGCAGGCCCAGAUGGAGGGCCUCCCUGACUUUGUCAGGAGCAAGAGACAUACUAUGGAGGAGAAGGUGAUCAAGGCCUGCAUCAUACCCACAGAAAUAAAAUAAAGCCCUCACCCUUUCCUGUG